GCGGCUGUAACAGGUGGUGCGAGCCGCCCCUCCGGAGGCGGGAGCGCAGGUUCGAAUCCUGCCGGGGGCACCA
rnacentral:tRNA from 1 species